rnacentral:tRNA from 1 species
GGUAAGAUGGCCGAGGUAGGCGGUGGAUUGUAGCUCCACACACAGAGGUUGACUCCUCUUCUUAUCA